GUCUACUUGGAGUUAUAAGUAGUCUGACCUGCUCACUGAUAUAUAAUUAAAGAGCCGCGGUACUUUGACCGUGCAAAGGUAGCAUAAUCAUUAGUUCUUUAAUUGAGAACUGGUAUGAACGGUUGGACAAGAGAGAGACUGUCUCUGACGUUAGAAUUAAAUUUAACUUCUAAGUGAAAAGGCUUAGAUGUACUAGGGGGACGAUAAGACCCUAUAAAGCUUUAUACAUUAACUAAUAAGGGGUAAUUAGCUUAUAAAUUCCUAUUUGGAAAGAUGUAUUUAGUUGGGGCGACUAAGGUAUAAUUCAUAGUAACUGAUUGAUAAAAAUUCAGCAAUAGCUGAUUAGGCAAGUUAAAAGAUCCUUUCUAGAGAUUAAAGAUUAAGUUACUUUAGGGAUAACAGCGUAAUUUUCUCUGAGAGUCCAAAUCGAAGAGAAAGAUUGCGACCUCGAUGUUGAAUUAAAAUGUCUUUCCGGCGCAGCAGCUGGGGAAGAAAGUCUGUUCGACUUUUAAACUUUUACAUGAUUUGAGUUCAGACCGGCGUAAGCCAGGUCGGUUUCUAUCUCCUAGCAAACACUAGCUAUUCUAGUACGAAAGGAUUGAGUAGUUAAAAAUGUUUUAAUCAUUGGC
rnacentral:rRNA from 1 species